AUGCCGUUCACCUGCUUUUCCUAACUAUGAUCUCAAAUUACUGAUUUUUCUUUCUUUGCCUACAUGCUGCUAUUUCGAGAUGCAAUAUUUGGUCGCUUGCUGAUUUUAAAUCCAAAUCCUGACUGAAAAUGAUUUUAUUUGUAAGGCAGCAGCGGGAACACCUGCUCUUGACAUGUGAGAAUGUUCUGAUGACAUAACCAGCUACCAGUAAUAGAAACUGUCUUUGGGCCCUCAUUGUGAGCCAUGUGAUGCUUCCACCACGUUGCCAAGUCAAACACUGUAAUUCCCCUCACUGAUUACUACUGCCCAGAGAGAGAGCAAGUGAGCAAAACUGUUUUUGAGUACUGAGUGACUUCUGAAUAUCCUACUGUAAUAUGGCUGACUUUAGUGGUCCUGAUACAAUGUCAGCUAAGGCCAAUGUAAGAGCAACAUGAUGGAAAGCACGGAGCAAAUACCUCCUGUUGUGAAGGUAUAGCAUGCUGGAGCCUCACAUCUGGCUUGGGUGCUUUGGUACCUGGUAAACUAACACGAAGCUAUCCCUGACACUGAACAUAAAUGGAAUUCAAUCAGGUUCCAACUUUGAACAGGAGGACUGAGAGGACUUCUUAAAUGAGUGAGAGUUUACCUGAAAUAAUAAGAAAACCAGUGUUCAUGCAAAUAUCUACAUGCAGAUGCUGGAUUGGAAUCCGUGAUAGUCCUCAUCCUCAACUCUGAAGUUACCAGGCUGAGCAGCUCCCAACUUUUUGCUUGAAAACUCUUCUGCUGCGUUUCUCCAUGACUGCCACUUCAGUGACUUUCAAACCUUUCCUUGAAAUAGGUUGUCAUUGUCAUUAUCUACAUGGUAGAAUGCCAUUCCCUGCCCCAU
rnacentral:lncRNA from 1 species